CCCCCGAUAACUCAAUUGGUAGAGCGACGGCCCGUUAAUCCGCAGGUCCCUGGUUCGAGUCCAGGUCGAGGGGCCA
rnacentral:tRNA from 1 species